GACGUAGGGGGCUAGCGUUGUCCGGAAUCAUUGGGCGUAAAGAGCGUGUAGGCGGCCCGGUAAGUCCGCUGUGAAAGUCCAGGGCUCAACCCUGGGAUGCCGGUGGAUACUGUCGGGCUCGAGUCCGGAAGAGGCGAGUGGAAUUCCUGGUGUAGCGGUGAAAUGCGCAGAUAUCAGGAGGAACACCAAUGGCGAAGGCAGCUCGCUGGGGCGUGACUGACGCUGAGACGCGAAAGCGUGGGGAGCAAACAGG
rnacentral:rRNA from 1 species